UACGUAGGGGGCAAGCGUUGUUCGGAAUUACUGGGCGUAAAGCGCACGUAGGCGGCUUUCUAAGUCAGGGGUGAAAUCCUGGAGCUCAACUCCAGAACUGCCUUUGAUACUGGAGAGCUUGAGUCCGGAAGAGGUGAGUGGAACUCCGAGUGUAGAGGUGAAAUUCGUAGAUAUUCGGAAGAACACCAGUGGCGAAGGCGGCUCACUGGUCCGGUACUGACGCUGAGGUGCGAAAGCGUGGGGAGCAAACAGG
rnacentral:rRNA from 1 species